GACGAACGCUGGCGGCGUGCUUAACACAUGCAAGUCGAACGGAAAGGCCUGCUUUCCCUUGUGGAUUGCGGGUACUCGAGUGGCGAACGGGUGAGUAACACGUGAGUGAUCUGCCCCCAACUUGGGUAUAAGCCUGGGAAACUGGGUCUAAUUCCCGAUAGGACUGCAGGGUGGUGCCUGUGGUGGAAAACGAUUUUCUAGUGGUUGGUGAUGAGCUCGCGGCCUAUCAGCUUGUUGGUGGGGUAAUGGCCUACCAAGGCGGCGACGGGUAGCCGGACUGAGAGAGUGGACGGCAACAUUGGGACUGAGAUACGGCCCAGACUACUACGGGAGGCAGCAGUGGGGAAUCAUGCACGAUGGGCGGAAGCCUGAUGCAGGGACGCCGCGUGGGGGAUGACGGGUUUCGGGUGGUAACCUCCUUUCGAUCGCGAGGAAGCCUCCUGGUUGGAAGGGUGGUGACGGUAGUGGUAGAAGAAGCACCGGCUAACUACGUG
rnacentral:rRNA from 1 species